rnacentral:lncRNA from 1 species
GGUUGGAACCAGCCCUGGGCAGGAUGUCAUCCCAUUGCAGGGGGCACCUAUACCCACCCACGCUUACACUCCCUCACACUGGUGAGAGGUGAAGCCGGCUGGGCUUCUGGGUCGGGUGGGGACUUGGAGAGCUUUUCGGUCUAGCUAAAGGAUUGUAAACACACCAAUCAGCACUCUGUGUCUAGCUAAAGGUUUGUAAACAGCACCAAUUAGCACUCUGUAAAAACGCACCAAUCAGCGCUCUGUGUCUAGCUAAAGGUUUGUAAAGACACCAGUCAGCCCUCAGUAAAAAUGGACCAAUCAGCACUCUGUAAAAUGGACAAAUCAGCGCUCUGUAAAAUGGACAACUCAGCAGGAUGUGGGCGGGGCCAAAUAAGGAAAUAAAAGGUGGACACCCCGGCUAGCAGCAGCAACUUGCUUUGGGUCCGUUUCCACGCUUUGGUCUUUCUCUCUUGGCAGUAAAUCUUGCUGCUCCUCACUUUUUGGGUUAGUACUACGUUUAUGAGCUGUCACACUCACCGGGAAGGUCUACAGCUUCACUCCUGAAGCCAGUGAGACCGUUAACCCACCAGGAGGAACGGGCAACUCAGACCGCGCCACCUUUAAGAGCUGUAACACUCACCGCGAAGGUCUGCGGCUUCACUCCAGAAGUCAGCGAGACCACGAAUCCUGCGGGAGGAACGAACUCCGACCGCGCCACCUUUAAGAGCUGUAACACUCACUGCGAAGGUCUGUGGCUUCACUCUUGAAGUCAGCAAGACCACGAACCCACCAGAAGGAAGAAACUCCGGACACAUCUGAACAUCUGAAGGAACUCGGGACACGCCAUCUUUAAGAACUGUUAACACUCACUGCGGGGGUCUGCGGCUUCAUUCCUGACGUCAGCGAGACCAAGAACCCACCGGAAGGAACCAGUUCCAGACAUACUGGGACCGUGUGGAUACGUCGGUAAACCUGACAUGCACAUCUUUAGGAGAUAGCUGGAGAAAACCCAUGCAGAUUGUGGGUUUAUCCCCAGCUGGGGAUAGAUUUUUUUUCCCCAUCAAUAUUGUAAAGAAAACUGAAUGAAUUAGUUAUUCAAGAACCAGCUGUACCUCUUACAUAGGGUUGUCCCGAGGGCUAUGAGAGAUCAUGUUUGUAAAGUGCCCAAGAAGCAGUGGCUACUAUUAUUACUAACUUGCUUUUUCUGUGCAGUAACUUUAUAAGAUAAAUUUUGCCACAGUUUUAUAGAUGAAGAGACUGAGGCAAAUGGAGGUCCCUUAAUUUACCAGAAGUCUUCUACCUUAAGAAAGACAAGACUCGGAUUCUAAUUUAAGUCAUUUUGAUACAUUCUACUCUCCCCACCACAGCAUAUUAAAUGUAAUGCACACUCAAAAAUACUGGGUUUUUUUUUUGUUUUUUUUUUUUGAGACAGAGUUUCGCACUUUUUGCCCAGGCUGGAGUGCAAUGGCGCGACCUUGGCUCCACCUCUUGGGUUCAAAUGAUUCUCCUGCCUCAGCCUUCUGAGUAGCUGGGAUUACAGGCAUGCAUCAGCACGCCUGGCUAAUUUUGUAUUUUUAGUAGAGAUGGGGUUUCUCCAUGUUGCUCAGGCUGGUCUCGAACUCCUGACUUCAGGUGAUCCUCCCACCUAGGCCUCCCAGAGUGUUGGGAUUAUAGGUGUGAGCCACUGCGCCUGGCCUGGAUUUCUCUAUUUGUUUAUGCGAAAUCGUCUACUGGCAUUACCAUCUCUCAAAACAUUUUCCUGGACUUUUAACUAAAGAUUUUUUCCAUUGUAAUGGGCACAAGUGCAAUUUCCCUUUCAUUUUAAGAGACUGUGAGAAGUAACAAAUCAGGUGAUGGUCUUGUUUUCCCAAGCUGCUACAGAGCUUCUGCAGCUCCAAGCAUGACCACUAUAUUUGGCUGCUUAAAAGCAUAACAAGGGCAGAAAUCAUAAAGGCUUUGCCCAGAGGGCCUUGAUUGUCCUUGCCUUCUUGUCCUUUGGUGAGAACUUCAUUGGUGGUGGCUCCAAAAAUCAGGAGACUUUCUGUGAUGAAUUCACCAUAAGAACGUGGGACCCAGCCUCCCUUGAAGGACGUCCUAUAUGAUGCCUGUUUCCAAGGGAAGAAGUAAAGUCAAGAAACAAGAUAUCCUCAAGCUACUCUUAGGAUCAGUGUCUGCAUAGAUCUGGCACACAGAAAUGCAAGGAAACAAUUUGUGCAAAGCAUUAAAAAAAAAAGGGGGGACCCUGAGAGUAUAACAAGUGCUCCUGAGAGAGGACAGACGGAGAGGACGCAUGGGCAGGGAUGGCCGCCCUGAGCAGCUGAUGUUCGAGCUAAGAUCUGAAAGGUGCAUGAUUUCCCACUUACCUCCCGCAACCACUACCACCCACGUUGUCCACAGUAUUCAGCUGUCUCAGGGAGGAUCACAAUUAUUCUAAUGGGACUGCAAAGAGUGAAGGACACAGCUUUUAACAUCAGAUUCGAAUCCUACAAUUUGGAACCCAUGGGCACUUCUAGAUUGGAUCUUGCAGAGAUUUUUUACAACAGAAAUAAUGGAAAGGCAAAAGAAAACAUUGAGUAAUAACCAACCCAAGCAAGUCCAGCCUCUUUCUGCAGAAGGUGAUGAGACAUUUUCUGGCUGAGAGACAGAGAUAUCCUAGAAAGGUGUCAAGUUAAAAGAGGGCCGAUGAAAGGACUUGAGCCACAGCCAUCGGAGGAGGGUAUGGAUGGCUGCAAGCCCACAGGCCACCUGUUGAAGAGGUAGGUGCACUUGGUCCUCAGAAUGACAGCUACUCAGUACCAGAUCUCUUUGUCUUCAUUAUUCAUGGAUAAUAAUGAGCUGGGAAAAGUCACAAUAUUCUAUGAAAUAAAUCCUGACACAUGGCUGGUUAAGCUAUUCUGCACCUUGUGGACAUACAGUAAAUGCAUCUUGAUUACCUGGCAAUGAACUCAUUUAGCCGUUUUUUUUUUUUAGCCACAGUUGCUUUAUAAAGAGUACAUUAUCUUUGUCAUUGAGUUUGCUGAGUGAAUCAGUUAGGAUAGGCAAGAUUGUGCUACAGUAAUAAACAUCCCUAAGUAUCAGUGACUAACAAGAAAGGUCUAAUUCUGGCUCAUGCAAAGUUCAUUGUAGAUCUGAAUGUCUCUCCAGCAUGCUAUCUUAUAGGUGGUUGAUCUGAAAUUCACCUUCCUAUCAAUAUGCACUUUAGUGAUUGCCAAAGCAGUAAAAGAGGGAAUUCAAACAAUGGCAGUUAAAAG